GAGGGUAUAGCUCAGUGGUAGAGCAAUGCUUGGCAUGCACGAGGUCCUGGGUUCAAUCCCCAAUAACUCCA
rnacentral:tRNA from 1 species